rnacentral:rRNA from 1 species
CCUACGGGAGGCAGCAGUAGGGAAUAUUGCUCAAUGGGGGAAACCCUGAAGCAGCAACGCCGCGUGGAGGAUGAAGGUUUUCGGAUUGUAAACUCCUUUUGUUAGAGAAGAUAAUGACGGUAUCUAACGAAUAAGCACCGGCUAACUCCGUCCCAGCAGCCGCGGUAAUACGGAGGGUGCAAGCGUUACUCGGAACCACUGGGCGUAAAGAGCGCGAAGGCGGGAUAGCAAGUCAGAUGUGAAAUCCUAUGGCUUAACCAUAGAACUGCAUUUGAAACUGUGAUUCUAGAUUAUGGAGGAGUAAGGUGGAAUUCUUGGUGGAGGGGUAAAAUCCGAA